rnacentral:lncRNA from 1 species
UUCUAAAAAUUUUAUUAAAAUGUCCCAAAUCUAAUAAGAACAAUAGACAUUGAGAAAAGAGGUUUAAGGAAAGCUUUAGAACACUAAACAAGGAAGAGUGUGGGAACCAAAGAUAAAUUUCAUCCACAGUUUUGUUCAGAACUAAUUCUUAUACGUAAUCCAUCACAAUUGUUUAUACGUUUUCGGUUCCUAUGGUAGCCAGUAGUUGAAUUGGAUUCUUUGCUUCCUUUUUAAAAAGAGGGGAUACCAACCAAUACAUGUCCCUAGCUUAUCUCUUAUUGCUCUCCUAUGGAAACCAAGGAGUCUCAAAAUAUGCUGUGUACUUUCCUGCUUCUCGAUGGUGGCUCAGAAUAUGUCCCACCCAGAAUGCCCUUGCAGUUCACUGAAAUCCUGCUCAUUGGUAAUUUUCUCCAAGCAAGAAGACUCAUAGUUAAUGUUGCCAGCAUUUCACUAAAAAUUAAUUCAAAAAAAGACUCACACUAAAUGGAAGAGCUACACUUUCAAAAGAUAAGAGGUAACCAUUGACCAGAUUACUAUUUGUGGUUCUGUGGUGGUUCUGAGUUUAAUACAAAGACAUGUCAUUCCUGAGUCCUGUUGCUUUCUAAAGACAUUGCCAAUACACUAAAUCAGAG